rnacentral:sRNA from 1 species
UUACCUUAAUGUACUUUUUCAGGCCUUAUGUGAUCUUUGCUAUAUUACGAGGCAAAAAUUAUAUGUUCGGACAUUGUUU